rnacentral:rRNA from 1 species
AGCAGUCGCCGCGGGAAUACAGAGGGUGCGAGCGUUAAUCGGAUUUACUGGGCGUAAAGCGUGCGUAGGCGGCUAAUUGAGUCGGAUGUGAAAUCCCUGAGCUUAACUUAGGAAUUGCAUUCGAUACUGGGAAGCUAGAGUAUGGGAGAGGAUGGUAGAAUUCCAGGUGUAGCGGUGAAAUGCGUAGAGAUCUGGAGGAAUACCGAUGGCGAAGGCAGCCAUCUGGCCUAAUACUGACGCUGAGGUACGAAAGCAUGGGGAGCAAACAGGAUUAGAUACCCCCGUAGUCCCUGUCUCUUAUAA